AUGCACGCUGGCGGCGUGCCUCAUACAUGCCGGUCGAGCGAACAGACGAGGAGCUUGCUCCUCUGACGUUAGCGGCGGACGGGUGAGUAACACGUGGAUAACCUACCUAUAAGACUGGGAUAACUUCGGGAAACCGGAGCUAAUACCGGAUAAUAUAUUGAACCGCAUGGUUCAAUAGUGAAAGACGGUUUUGCUGUCACUUAUAGAUGGAUCCGCGCCGCAUUAGCUAGUUGGUAAGGUAACGGCUUACCAAGGCGACGAUGCGUAGCCGACCUGAGAGGGGGUCGGCCCCCCUGGAACCUGGACACCCACCUGGGCCCCACGGGGGGGCCGCGUGUGGGACUCUUCGCCACGGGGGGAAACCCUGCGGAAGGAACGCCGGGGUGGUGAAGAAGUGUUUCGGGCCGUAAAACGUUUUUUUGGGGGAAAACAAAUUUCGUACGUAACGAUGCCCGUUUGACGGUAACCAAUUAAGAAGCCCCGGCCAACUUCGGG
rnacentral:rRNA from 1 species